GAUGAAGAACGCAGCAAAAUGCGAUAAGUAAUGUGAAUUGCAGAAUUCAGUGAAUCAUCGAAUCUUUGAACGCACAUUGCGCCCGCCAGCAUUCUGGCGGGCAUGCCUGUUCGAGCGUCAUUUCAACCCUCGACCUCCCUUUGGGGAAGUCGGCGUUGGGGACCGGCAGCACACCGCCGGCCCUGAAAUGGAGUGGCGGCGCGUCCGCGGCGACCUCUGCGUAGUAAACCAACUCGCACCGGAACCCCGACGUGGCCACGCCGUAAAACACCCAACUUCUGAACGUUGACCUCGAAUCAGGUAGGACUACCCGCUGAACUUAAGCAUAUCAAUAAGCGGAGGA
rnacentral:misc_RNA from 1 species